GCCUUCUUGGUGUAGUGGUCAGCACGCUCGAUACCUAUUCGGGAGAUCCAUGGUUCGAAUCCCGGCGAGGGCA
rnacentral:tRNA from 1 species